AGUGAACGCUGGCGGUAGGCCUAACACAUGCAAGUCGAACGGCAGCACAGUAAGAGCUUGCUCUUACGGGUGGCGAGUGGCGGACGGGUGAGGAAUACAUCGGAAUCUACUUUUUCGUGGGGGAUAACGUAGGGAAACUUACGCUAAUACCGCAUACGACCUACGGGUGAAAGCAGGGGAUCUUCGGACCUUGCGCGAUUGAAUGAGCCGGUGUCGGAUUAGCUAGUUGGCGGGGUAAAGGCCCACCAAGGCGACGAUCCGUAGCUGGUCUGAGAGGAUGAUCAGCCACACUGGAACUGAGACACGGUCCAGACUCCUACGGGAGGCAGCAGUGGGGAAUAUUGGACAAUGGGCGCAAGCCUGAUCCAGCCAUACCGCGUGGGUGAAGAAGGCCUUCGGGUUGUAAAGCCCUUUUGUUGGGAAAGAAAAGCAGCAUGUUAAAACCCCGCUGUUCUGACGGUACCCAAAGAAAAAGCACCGGCUAACUUCGUG
rnacentral:rRNA from 1 species